GACGAACGCUGGCGGCGUGCCUAAUACAUGCAAGUAGAACGCUGAAGGAGGAGCUUGCUUCUCUGGAUGAGUUGCGAACGGGUGAGUAACGCGUAGGUAACCUGCCUGGUAGCGGGGGAUAACUAUUGGAAACGAUAGCUAAUACCGCAUAAGAGUGGAUGUUGCAUGACAUUUGCUUAAAAGGUGCACUUGCAUCACUACCAGAUGGACCUGCGUUGUAUUAGCUAGUUGGUGGGGUAACGGCUCACCAAGGCGACGAUACAUAGCCGACCUGAGAGGGUGAUCGGCCACACUGGGACUGAGACACGGCCCAGACUCCUACGGGAGGCAGCAGUAGGGAAUCUUCGGCAAUGGACGGAAGUCUGACCGAGCAACGCCGCGUGAGUGAAGAAGGUUUUCGGAUCGUAAAGCUCUGUUGUAAGAGAAGAACGAGUGUGAGAGUGGAAAGUUCACACUG
rnacentral:rRNA from 1 species